rnacentral:rRNA from 1 species
UGGGGAAUUUUGGACAAUGGGCGCAAGCCUGAUCCAGCAAUGCCGCGUGCAGGAUGAAGGCCUUCGGGUUGUAAACUGCUUUUGCACGGAACGAAACGGCUCUGGUUAAUACCUGGGGCUAAUGACGGUACCGUAAGAAUAAGCACCGGCUAACUACGUGCCAGCAGCCGCGGUAAUACGUAGGGUGCGAGCGUUAAUCGGAAUUACUGGGCGUAAAGCGUGCGCAGGCGGUGAUGUAAGACAGAUGUGAAAUCCCCGGGCUCAACCUGGGACCUGCAUUUGUGACUGCAUCGCUGGAGUGCGGCAGAGGGGGAUGGAAUUCCGCGUGUAGCAGUGAAAUGCGUAGAUAUGCGGAGGAACACCGAUGGCGAAGGCAAUCCCCUGGGCCUGCACUGACGCUCAUGCACGAAAGCGUGGGGAGCAAACA